rnacentral:rRNA from 1 species
CAUGUCCUUUUGAUUAUAAUUUAAGGUCUGAUCUGCCCAAUGAUUAUUUGAAUGGCCGCAGUAUCUUGACUGUGCAAAGGUAGCAUAAUCAUUAGUUUUUUAAUUGAAAGCUGGAAUGAACGAUUUGAUGAAAAAAUGACUGUCUCGGUUUUAAUUUUUUAUAAUUUUAUUUUUUAGUAAGAAGGCUAAAAUUUUAUAGAAAGACGAGAAGACCCUAUAGAGUUUAUAUAUAAUUUAAUUUAAAAUUUUAUGAAGAAUUAAUUGUAUUUUAUGUUAAUUAUAUUUUGUUGGGGUGAUGAAAAAAUUUAAUAAACUUUUUUUUAUUUUUACAUUAAUUUAUGAUUGGCUGAUCCUAUAAAUAUAGAUUAAAAGAAAAAAUUACCUUAGGGAUAACAGCGUGAUUUUUCUGAAGAGUUCAAAUCGAAAUGAAGGAUUGCGACCUCGAUGUUGGAUUAAAAUUAAGUUUUGGUGUAGCAGCUAAAAUAUUAGGUCUGUUCGACCUUUAAAAUU